rnacentral:rRNA from 1 species
UACGGAGGAUGCAAGUGUUAUCCGGAAUCACUGGGCGUAAAGCGUCUGUAGGUGGUCAAAUAAGUCAACUGUUAAAUCUUGAGGCUCAACCUCAAAAUCGCAGUCGAAACUAUUCGACUAGAGUAUAGUAGGGGUAAAGGGAAUUUCCGGUGGAGCGGUGAAAUGCGUAGAGAUCGGAAAGAACACCAACGGCGAAAGCACUCUGCUGGGCCGACACUGACACUGAGAGACGAAAGCUAGGGGAGCGAAUGGG